GACGAGCGCUGGCGGCGUGCUUAACACAUGCAAGUCGAACGGUGAAGCGCCUUCCUUUUUGGUGGGUGUGGAUGAGUGGCGAACGGGUGAGUAACACGUGAGUAACCUGCCCCCUUCUUCUGGAUAACCGCAUGAAAGUGUGGCUAAUACGGGAUAUUCUGGGUCUGUCGCAUGAUGGGUCUGGGAAAGAUAUUGUUUCGGUGGGGGAUGGGCUCGCGGCCUAUCAGCUUGUUGGUGGGGUGAUGGCCUACCAAGGCGGUGACGGGUAGCCGGCCUGAGAGGGUGGACGGUCACACUGGGACUGAGACACGGCCCAGACUCCGACGGGAGGCAGCAGUGGGGAAUAUUGCACAAUGGGCGCAAGCCUGAUGCAGCGACGCCGCGUGAGGGAUGGAGGCCUUCGGGUUGUGAACCUCUUUCGCCAGUGAAGCAGGCCUGCCUCGUUUGUGGGUGGGUUGACGGUAGCUGGAUAAGAAGCGCCGGCUAACUACGUG
rnacentral:rRNA from 1 species